rnacentral:rRNA from 1 species
AUUGAACGCUGGCGGCAGGCCUAACACAUGCAAGUCGAGCGGGGUUUUCGGACCUAGCGGCGGACGGGUGAGUAAUGCGUAGGAAGCUACCCGAUAGAGGGGGAUACCAGUUGGAAACGACUGUUACUACCGCAUAAUGUCUACGGACCAAAGUGUGGGACCUUCGGGCCACAUGCUAUCGGAUGCGCCUACGUGGGAUUAGCUAGUUGGUGGGGUGAUGGCUCACCAAGGCGAUGAGCCCUGGCGGGUUUGAGAGGAUGAUCAGCCACACUGGAACUGAGACACGGUCCAGACUCCUACGGGAGGCAGCAGUGGGGAAUAUUGGACAAUGGGCGCAAGCCUGAUCCAGCCAUGCCGCGUGUGUGAAGAAGGCCUUCGGGUUGUAAAGCACUUUCAGUAGGGAGGAAGGGUGUUGUGUUAAUAGCACAGCAUUUUGACGUUACCUACAGAAGAAGCACCGGCUACCUCUGUGCCAGCCGCCGCCGUAACAC